UCUGUUCAUAGAAGCGAUUUAAUUCUGAUCUGUACUCUCGGCUCAAUUCUGAGGGUAGUCAUAAGAUUCAAAAGGUGGCCUACCUUAGAUUUGAAAACCGAAUUUCAAACUUUCUCAAAUAGGAUCCAAUCCUUGAGUACCAACUGUGCAACUAAGGGCUCUCGACUUAGUGCAUCUGCGACCUUGCUCACCUUUCCAGAGUGAUACGAAAUAUCAUAGUUAUCAUCCUUAAUAAGUUCCAUCCAGCGACGCUGUCUCAUAUUCAA
rnacentral:lncRNA from 1 species